CCCAGACUCCUACGGGAGGCAGCAGUGGGGAAUAUUGCACAAUGGGGGGAACCCUGAUGCAGCGACGCCGCGUGGGUGAAGGAGUACUUCGGUACGUAAAGCCCUAUCAGCAGGAAAGAAAAUGACGGUACCUGACUAAGAAGCCCCGGCUAACUACGUGCCAGCAGCCGCGGUAAUACGUAGGGGGCAAGCGUUAUCCGGAUUUACUGGGUGUAAAGGGAGCGUAGACGGCAGUGCAAGUCCGGAGUGAAAGCCCGGGGCUCAACCCUGGGACUGCUCUGGAAACUGUAGAGCUGGAGUGCGGGAGGGGCAGGCGGAAUUCCUGGUGUAGCGGUGAAAUGCGUAGAUAUCAGGAGGAACACCGGCGGCGAAGGCGGCCUGCUGGACCGUAACUGACGUUGAGGCUCGAAAGCGUGGGGAGCAAACAGGAUUAGAUACCGUGUA
rnacentral:rRNA from 1 species